rnacentral:rRNA from 1 species
AGUGAACGCUGGCGGUAGGCCUAACACAUGCAAGUCGAACGGCAGCACAGUAAGAGCUUGCUCUUACGGGUGGCGAGUGGCGGACGGGUGAGGAAUACAUCGGAAUCUACUUUUUCGUGGGGGAUAACGUAGGGAAACUUACGCUAAUACCGCAUACGACCUACGGGUGAAAGCAGGGGAUCUUCGGACCUUGCGCGAUUGAAUGAGCCGAUGUCGGAUUAGCUAGUUGGCGGGGUAAAGGCCCACCAAGGCGACGAUCCGUAGCUGGUCUGAGAGGAUGAUCGGCCACACUGGAACUGAGCCACGGUCCAGACUCCUACGGGAGGCAGCAGUGGGGAAUAUUGGACAAUGGGCGCAAGCCUGAUCCAGCCAGACCGCGUGGGUGAAGAAGGCCUUCGGGUUGUAAAGCCCUUUUGUUGGGAAGGAAAAGCAGCAGGUUAAUACCCCGCUGUUCUGACGGUACCCAAAGAAUAAGCACCGGCUAACUUCGUG